CGUCAUCCAGCUCGAUCUCAUUCUCACCGGUCGCGAGGAUGCGGACCCCCGCCGCCGCUGCUCUUCGUUCACCGCCGGCGGCAUCCCGCCUUUCUCCUCCGGCCGGCGCUCGUCCAAGGUUGUAUAGCUCCACUCAGAUUCCAUGGGACGGCAAAGUGAAGCCGGAGAUGAUCAAACCCUACCUUUGAAGGAACUCGCUCGUACAUCAGCUGUAGGAUUGAGGCUGCAACUCCACACCUUCUCUAGCACCGAAGAGAGCACUCUGCUCUCUCAUGCUGGUUGGGAGGAUGCCGCAUCAUUGGCCGUUAGUUACCUGCUUGAAAGCUCACGGCUCCGCACUGCCGACGAACCUGAGAAGUGAUUUGAGUGCCCAUGUCGCUCCAUGCCCACGUAAAUCACCAUAGGAAAAACCCUUGCCACUGGUGUAGUUUUGGCUCGGGCUGAUCUAGAAUUCACAUGUAUGUGCUGUUACAAUACCCUUUGAAUUUGUAAGAUAUAUAUGGUUCCAAUUCGUAGU